GAAGGUGUAUCUAGAAAGACAAAUUAGAGCUUGAAAAGUAAAGCAUUUCAUUUACAUUGAAAAGUAUAUUGUGUAAUUCAAUUUAAUUUGAUAAUAAAAAUUUAUUAAUUUUUUUUUUGUUUAAAAAUUUAUUUAAUAAAAUUAAUUUUAAAUUAAGGUUUUUUUGUAUAAUAUAUAGAUUAAAUAAUUUAUAUAAUAGUUAAUUAGUAUUGUAAAAGAAUAUUGAAAUAUAUGAAAAAGUUUUAAAUUAAAAGUAAAUUUUAUAUAUUGUACCUUGUGUAUCAGGGUUUAUUAAUUAAAAGUUAAAAAUUUAAUUUUUCUCGAAUUUAAGAGAGUUAAUUUAUUAUUUAAUUUUUUGUUUCAUAAAAAUUUAAAAUAAUAAAUUAGAAAUGAAAUGUUAUUCGUUCUUAAAUAUAUCUAGUUUUUUAAGAAAUAAAUUAAAUUUAGAUUAUUAAUAAAUAAUUAUUUAUUUAAAUAAUAAGUUAUUAUUAAUAAUUAAUAUUUUAAGGGAUAAGCUUUAAAAUAAGUUUUAUAAUAAUUUUUUAAUUUAAAAAUUAUAGGUUUAGAAAUAGCCAUUAAUUAUAAAAAUGUUAUAAUUUAUUUUAAAUUAAAAAUAAUUUUUAUUAAUUUAAGUUUUUAUUAAAAUAAUUUUUAAAAUUAUAUAAGAGUUAAAAUAAUGAUAAAAUUAGUAUAUUUAAUUGUUUAAAGUAAAUAAGUUGAAAGGUUAAAUUAAGGAACUUGGCAAAUAAAGACUCGCCUGUUUAACAAAAACAUGUCUUUUUGAAUAUAAUUUAAAGUCUAAUCUGCCCACUGAAAAAUUUUGAAGGGCCGCGGUAUU
rnacentral:rRNA from 1 species